UCAGUCAGCAUUUCCAGCAUUAUUUUUUUUUUUAAAAAUAGUUGUAUCUGGUCUUCUUUACUUGUAGGUCAUAUAAUAAUUUCAAUGCAUUGUAUCUCAGAAGUAGAAUGUCAAUAAAAUAUCACUUUUAACAAGUCAAUUAUAUAAUUUUCUUUGUACACAUGGCUACUAUUCUUCAACGGAGGGAUACUUUUGCUUUUCAAAUGAACAAAACAAAAACAUCUCCGGUCUGUGCAAUGAUUUUAGAUGCCUUUUAACAGACUGACGCUUCGGAACACAGGUCUCGGUGCUGUGUUGAGCCAAAAUGUCGAUGGUGUAGAAUACCCCAUCAUAUACCUCAGCCAGAAACUGUUGGAUCGGGAGACCAGACCAUUCCCGGGAUAUCUCACCAGAUUCCUGCACCUCUGA